ACACUCCUGCGGGAGGCAGCAGUGGGGAAUUUUGGACAAUGGGCGAAAGCCUGAUCCAGCAAUGCCGCGUGUGUGAAGAAGGCCUUCGGGUUGUAAAGCACUUUUGUCCGGAAAGAAAUCCUUGGCUCUAAUACAGUCGGGGGAUGACGGUACCGGAAGAAUAAGCACCGGCUAACUACGUGCCAGCAGCCGCGGUAAUACGUAGGGUGCGAGCGUUAAUCGGAAUUACUGGGCGUAAAGCGUGCGCAGGCGGUUUGCUAAGACCGAUGUGAAAUCCCCGGGCUCAACCUGGGAACUGCAUUGGUGACUGGCAGGCUAGAGUAUGGCAGAGGGGGGUAGAAUUCCACGUGUAGCAGUGAAAUGCGUAGAGAUGUGGAGGAAUACCGAUGGCGAAGGCAGCCCCCUGGGCCAAUACUGACGCUCAUGCACGAAAGCGUGGGGAGCAAACAGGAUUAGAAACCCGAGUAGUCCC
rnacentral:rRNA from 1 species